rnacentral:lncRNA from 1 species
AAGAAUCGUUGGAAAGAUUGAGUUCUUAUAAAUCUAAACAAAAGAAUUGCUUGCAAUGUAGCUUGGAACUUGUGUUUUCCUAUUCUUUCGUUUCAAUAACCCUAUCCCUAAGCCUCAUUACAUCCAAUAAAAGUCCUCUUGAUUUAAGUUUUGCAAUUAUGAUUGUGGAGAUGAGAUCUUUAUGCAAGCUUAUGGUAGAAAUUUCACAUUUGAUUCUUUGAGCAAAACACAUUAAAACUAAACACAUGUGUGAUUCAGUGCAUAUCCCGUGAGAAGGUCGCUAGUUUGCAUAUGAUGAUUUUAAAAAUAAAAACUUGAAAUUGCAUUAGCAUGGCUAUCUCACACACUACACUUCAAGGAUGAUUCAAAGAUUACUGCUAAUAUUUGAAUUAGGAAGAUGAACUUGGAUUAACUUGUUUGGUGCUAGCUAUGGUUCUUGAUGAUUUGUGUUCUCAAAUGAAAUUCUAUGAGGGUCACAUAGAGGGAAGCUAAUGUUUUUCAUGUUAUUACUUUUUC